CCCUUAGAUGUCCUGGGCCGCACGCGCGUUACACUGAUGCAUUCAACGAGCUUAUAACCUUGGCCGAGAGGCCUGGGCAAUCUUGUUAACGUGCAUCGUGAUGGGGAUAGAUUAUUGAAAUUAUUAAUCUUGAACGAGGAAUUCCUAGUAAACGCAGAUCAUCAAUCUGCAUUGAUUGCGUCCCUGCCCUUUGUACACACCGCCCGUCGCACCUACCGAUUGGAUGGUCCGGUGAAGCCUCGGGAUUGUGGUUCUUGCCGCUUUAUUGUGGCGUGACCGCGAGAACUUGUCUAAACCUUAUCAUCUAGAGGAAGGUGAAGUCGUAACA
rnacentral:rRNA from 1 species